rnacentral:lncRNA from 1 species
GGAGAGGACAGGAUGCCCUCGGCAGAGACAGACGUCUGAAGCCCUCCCUGUCUCCACCGACGUGCCCCAAAAUAAAACAAAGAUGAGGAGGAACGAGGCCUUUGAAUAAUGGUGUGCUGGCAGUCGUCUGCAGCUCGUGACAGGCUGGCUGGGCAUGAAUCACUCGCUCCCUGGGAAAUGAAGCUGUUUUUGACUUUUGGAAGACAUCCUUCUUCUCAAAGGCCACACUGGUUUGCAAAUUCAGGAAAUGUUUGAUGAUGUCAUAGAACCACGACCUCUCACUAAACACACUCGGAGGGAUCCAAGAUAAUGCCUGUCUGGUUUCAGGACUGUGGCUCUAAAUCCUUUUUUUUUCUUUGGCUUCACUAAUCUUUACUAGUGCUACAAGUCCUGCAGGAAUGACAGUUCUGAGCUUUCCUCCCCAAAGUGGGCCACUGUAGCUAAGUUGGGAAACACGGUAUUGGAGAAGUAAUUCUUACGGCCCUUCUCAAAAGAAAUUGAACGUGAAUAUUAUAUUGGAAAGUCCCCCAAGCAUAAGCGACUGAGGUUAGUGUGGCUGUUUGUCCUUAUUCUCACUUCAGACAGUGAAGAGCUCACACUGCAGAAGAGAAAUAAUAUUCACUCCUAGGCCUGGAGAUUUUAGAGGCUGCUCCUCAGUGCCUAAAGCCCUGGACACACCAUGAACAGGAAUUAGAAUCAGAGGACUCGGAUCCUCUCUUGGAUAAGGGGGAGAUUGUCCCCAGUAUGAAGUCUUCU